rnacentral:tRNA from 1 species
GCGCCUAUAGCUCAAUGGUAGAGCAUUCGCCUUUUAAGCGAUCGACCAUGGUCCGAUUCCAUGUAGGC